rnacentral:rRNA from 1 species
GGAGGGUGCAAGCGUUAAUCGGAAUUACUGGGCGUAAAGCGCACGCAGGCGGUUUGUUAAGUCAGAUGUGAAAUCCCCGGGCUCAACCUGGGAACUGCAUCUGAUACUGGCAAGCUUGAGUCUCGUAGAGGGGGGUAGAAUUCCAGGUGUAGCGGUGAAAUGCGUAGAGAUCUGGAGGAAUACCGGUGGCGAAGGCGGCCCCCUGGACGAAGACUGACGCUCAGGUGCGAAAGCGUGGGGAGCAAACAGGAUUAGAUACCCUGGUAGUCCACGCCGUAAACGAUGUCGACUUGGAGGUUGUGCCCUUGAGGCGUGGCUUCCGGAGCUAACGCGUUAAGUCGACCGCUUGGGGAGUACGGCCGCANNNUUCAAACUCAAAGGAAUUGACGNCAGCAGCCGCGGUAAUACCAGCAAACUCAAAGGAAUUGACGG